AACGGCUACCACAUCCAAGGAAGGCAGCAGGCGCGCAAAUUACCCAAUCCCAAUUCGGGGAGGUAGUGACAAUAAAUACUGAUACAGGGCUCUUUUGGGUCUUGUAAUUGGAAUGAGUACAAUUUAAAUCCCUUAACGAGGAACAAUUGGAGGGCAAGUCUGGUGCCAGCAGCCGCGGUAAUUCCAGCUCCAAUAGCGUAUAUUAAAGUUGUUGCAGUUAAAAAGCUCGUAGUUGAACCUUGGGUCUGGCUGCUCGGUCCGCCUAACCGCGUGCACUGAUGCGGCCGGAUCUUUCCUUCUGGCUAACCUCAUGCCCUUUACUGGGUGUGCUGGGGAUCCAGGACUUUUACUUUGAAAAAAUUAGAGUGUUCAAAGCAGGCCUUUGCUCGAAUACAUUAGCAUGGAAUAAUAGAAUAGGACGGCGGUUCUAUUUUGUUGGUUUCUAGAGCCACCGUAAUGAUUAAUAGGGAUAGUCGGGGGCAUCAGUAUUCAGUUGUCAGAGGUGAAAUUCUUGGAUUUACUGAAGACUAACUACUGCGAAAGCAUUUGCCAAGGAUGUUUUCAUUAAUCAGUGAACGAAAGUUAGGGGAUCGAAGACGAUCAGAUACCGUCGUAGUCUUAACCAUAAACUAUGCCGACUAGGGAUCGGGCGGUGCUCAACUUAUGACCCGCUCGGCACCUUACGAGAAAUCAAAGUUUUUGGGUUCUGGGGGGAGUAUGGUCGCAAGGCUGAAACUUAAAGGAAUUGACGGAAGGGCACCACCAGAUGUGGAGCCUGCGGCUUAAUUUGACUCAACACGGGGAAACUCACCAGGUCCAGACACAUUAAGGAUUGACAGAUUGAGAGCUCUUUCUUGAUUAUGUGGGUGGUGGUGCAUGGGCCGUUCUUAGUUGGUGGAGUGAUUUGUCUGCUUAAUUGCGAUAACGAACGAGACCUUAACCUGCUAAAUAGCCAGGCUAGCUUUUGCUGGUCGCCGGCUUCUUAGAGGGACUAUCGGG
rnacentral:rRNA from 1 species